AGAUUGAACGCUGGCGGCAUGCCUUACACAUGCAAGUCGAACGGUAGAGUAGCAAUACUUGAGAGUGGCGAACAGGUGAGUAAUAUAUCGGAACGUGCCCAGUCGUGGGGGAUAACGUAGAGAAAUUUACGCUAAUACCGCAUACGAUCUAAGGAUGAAAGCGGGGGACCGUAAGGCCUCGCGCGAUUGGAGCGGCUGAUAUCAGAUUAGGUUGUUGGUGAGGUAAAAGCUCACCAAGCCGACGAUCUGUAGCUGGUUUGAGAGAACGACCAGCCACACUGGGACUGAGACACGGCCCAGACUCCUACGGGAGGCAGCAGUGGGGAAUUUUGGACAAGU
rnacentral:rRNA from 1 species